rnacentral:rRNA from 1 species
UACGGAGGGUGCAAGCGUUAUCCGGAUUUACUGGGUUUAAAGGGUGCGUAGGAGGGCAGGUAAGUCAGUGGUGAAAUCUCCGAGCUUAACUUGGAACUGCCGUUGAUACUAUCUGUCUUGAAUAUUGUGGAGGUGAGCGGAAUAUGUCAUGUAGCGGUGAAAUGCUUAGAUAUGACAUAGAACACCAAUUGCGAAGGCAGCUCGCUACACAUAUAUUGACUCUGAGGCACGAAAGCGUGGGGAUCAAACAGG